GCACCUCUAGCUCAAUGGCAGAGCAAUUGACUCUUAAUCAAUGGGUUCCCGGUUCGAGCCCGGGGGGGGUGCA
rfam:Microbacterium sp. CH12i Contig7, whole genome shotgun sequence.